GAUCGCUGAAUCCCGAUAAGGGAGCGGGGGAACCAAAUGCAGGCAUGUUUUUUCACAUACUGCACGGGGUGAAUCCCGGGAUGACCCGGGUAGGGCGACUCUCACGCCCGAAUCCGUCAGCUAACCUCGUAAGCGUGUAGGGGGG
rnacentral:sRNA from 1 species